rnacentral:rRNA from 1 species
UGCAUUGGAGAGUUAGAGCAUUUAUAAUGAUCUCUCCGUAUGUGCACUUGCAGAAGCCUUAGCAUGCCCAAAAGGCAGGCCGUCCGCGACCCCGUUUCAAGAGACAGCCACCCGUUUAGCCUCAGGGGAGGGAACGGGUUUGCUAGUCAGGUCCCUUAGGGGAAACCUUCGUUCUGAAGGUCUGGCGACACUUUCGAAUUGCGGGAAAAUCCUAAAGCCUACUCCUACCAAACCAUCGGGGAAACCUGGGUGGUGGCUCGUGUUAACUGCAUGAGGUAUGGUAAAAAUGGAGUUGGAUACUGUCGAGAGACGAUCAUGGACGAUCCGCAGCCAAGCCCUAACGCUCUGUCUUCAACGCCAGGCCAUGGGACAGGUUCACAGACUAAGUGGAAGUGGGUGGGAAAGUAAUUUCCUGCUUAAGAUAUAGUCGGGCCACCUUGGAAACUUGGUGGGUAAGCUACAUACGAACAUACCAACAAAGCACGAAGUCAUUUCAAUGAUACUAUUGCGGUCUUCAAUAAAUUGCAGAUUAAAAUUUUAUUAUAAUUGACUAAGUGUGUCCAACUCCUCCCAGUGGGCGGAGCUGGUGCGACAAGGAGCCUGCCAAUGAAUACAUUGGCAGGCCUUGUUCGCCCCAGCGGCCCACUGGUCGAAGUCGCCGAAGCCCCAAUUGUACGGAAAGUCGUAACUACCGGCAAAACGUUCAAGAUGGUGCUCUAGUACUGCGGUCAGAAUAGUCGAAAGCAUUUAGUUGCCGAGAUGAAACUUACCGAAAAACAAGCCACACGCCUUGCGUGUUUGAUUAGUUAUAUUACUCUCUAAUGUGAGAUGUAAUGGAUUAAUAUUGCUAGGCCUGUCAGUACGUGUCACAAGAAUUCUUUCAAUCAUCUUACCUUGAUGUAAUGCGGCCCAGAUAAAGUAUAUGGCUGACGUCUUUGCCAGCAGCAAUGUCGUGAUAAAAUGAUUGAUAAGUAAUUCUGUGGCAAAGAUAUUUGGUGCCCUUGUAUCGAACUUGAUGCAAUUAGCUCAAAAUGUCAUGGCGAGGAUCCAAAGUCUUAACGUACCAGAAGUAUAGCCGUCGUGAUUAUCCGCGUACGGCGAGAAAACGGGUGCGCUGGGCCAUUGCCCAGCGGCGAUGUUUGCAACAUCGCCGGCGUUCAGAUGAGGAUUUUUGGCGCGAAAUUCUUUGUUGCCGACGAUUUGACGCACCGCGUCAGCCACGUCGGCGGCCGAAAGGUCCUGGACCGACAUUGUUGAUGGUGAUCGAACGAAACUCAUGAAGGCGGACGACAAGUAUUCGAAGCAACUUGUUUGUUUACUCUCGGCUAUCCAUCUCUGAGCAGGAGCUGUUGGCUGUAGAGAAAGUACGCCUCCGCUGAAAUUCCAACGUCACCUCAUCAAUUGUUAGCAUCCAGGAUCUCAACGGCCGCAUAUUGCAUAUUGCUAAACCGCUCCGUAGGUGAACCUUCGGAGGGAUCAUUACA